GCGGCGCAGGCCCAGGGCCAGCAACAAGAAUCGCAGCGGCCGCGUCAAGCACGAGGCGGCCAUGGAGGCUAGUAACCUGCCAUGCGACGGUGGCGGCGACGAGUUCAGCUAUUAUGGAGGUGGCGGGUUCCAGCCGGGCUCCCCAAAGCGGGCGAGGAAUGGUGGAGCUGGGCCCGCUCCGUGAACCAGCUCGGCGCGCGCUGCUGUGCAAUAUGUGGCGCCUCCCUCGAAGAAAUCUGAGACCCGAUACAACACUGAAGAAAUCUGAGACCCGAUGGAACACUGUUUUUUUUAAGCAAAUGAUCAUUCGUACACGACAUUCCUGGCAUUGCUUCUGCCCGUAUUUUUCUUUUCUGUUUCGCUAGUCAAUUUACAUUGUGAUUCAUGCACUUAACGUUGUAAGGGGGUUGCAGAUAAGAUUUUAAAGAUGCAAGAUUUUUCA